rnacentral:rRNA from 1 species
GGAGCGAACGCUGGCGGCAGGCCUAACACAUGCAAGUCGAACGCACCUUCGGGUGAGUGGCGGACGGGUGAGUAACACGUGGGAACGUACCUUUUGGUUCGGAAUAACGCAGGGAAACUUGCGCUAAUACCGAAUGUGCUCCGUAAGGAGGAAAGAUUUAUCGCCAUUAGAGCGGCCCGCGUUAGAUUAGCUAGUUGGUGAGGUAAAGGCUCACCAAGGCUACGAUCUAUAGCUGGUCUGAGAGGAUGAUCAGCCACAUUGGGACUGAGACACGGCCCAAACUCCUACGGGAGGCAGCAGUGGGGAAUCUUGCGCAAUGGGCGAAAGCCUGACGCAGCCAUGCCGCGUGAAUGAUGAAGGUCUUAGGAUUGUAAAAUUCUUUCAGUAGGGACGAUAAUGACGGUACCUACAGAAGAACGCCCGGCUAACUUCGCGCCAGCAGCCGC